rnacentral:rRNA from 1 species
AUUGAACGCUGGCGGCAUGCCUUACACAUGCAAGUCGAACGGCAGCACGGGAGCAAUCCUGGUGGCGAGUGGCGAACGGGUGAGUAAUAUAUCGGAACGUGCCCAGUCGUGGGGAUAACGUAGCGAAAGCUACGCUAAUACCGCAUACGAUCUAUGGAUGAAAGCGGGGGGAUCGCAAGACCUCGCGCGAUUGGAGCGGCCGAUAUCAGAUUAGGUAGUUGGUGAGGUAAAGGCUCACCAAGCCGACGGAUCUGUAGCUGGUCUGAGAGGACGACCAGCCACACUGGGACUGAGACACGGCCCAGACUCCUACGGGAGGCAGCAGUGGGGAAUUUUGGGACAAUGGGCGCAAGCCUGAUCCAGCAAUGCCGCGUGCAGGAUGAAGGCCUCGGUUGUAACUGCUUUGUACGUACGAACGGUAGAGCGU